GUUUCCUCCGACACAUUGGUGCUGCUGGCUUCCAGGUUGGACGCGCGCAGUGCAGUUUCGUUGGGUUGUGUAUCAGAGGACGCAUGAUUCUCAACCUUCGUCUCUCCCGAGCGGGAGUUGUAGCGAUGAGACAAGAUAGUAGCAACUAACAAUUGGAUACCUUGAAAUUGGGGAGAAAAAGGGGGUCCGUUUUUUUUUUAUUAACAAAAUGAACUUCAAAUAUCUGUGAGCUGUGACUGUAAGGACAUCUCUCUGGCAAUGCAAAAGGACAAAGGACUGCUUGAAAGAGUCAAGAGCAGCAAAAAAUAUACAUGGGAAAAGUAGACUUGGAGUGGAACAUGACGUAUUAUGAUUCCAAGGCAGAGCUAGACUAUUACUCCCUGCAAGAUGGUGAUGGGGAAACAGUGAGCCCUCCACUACAGGUGGAGUUUCUGUAUGACGCUAACUUCAAAAAUAAGGUCAACUACUCCUUCACAGCCGUUCAGAUCCCCACAGACAUCUACAAAGGAGGAGUGGCAGUGUGAGCGGCCUCACUUUGAAGCUGAUCAAGUCAUCAGUGAUGGAGAUGUUGGACACUCUGUCUGAUGACGACUAUGUCAACGUGGCCAGGUCUUUAUCUCUUGCUGUCUAUCUCGCCUGCUCUCUCACUGUCUUUAUCUCUUGCUCUCUAUCUAGCCUGCUCUCUCAUUGUUGUUCCUCAAUCCCAUUUCUGCUCUGUCAUUCUCUCUCCUUUCUUGUUUCAGUUUAAUGAAAAGGCAGAGGCAGUGGUCCCUUGCUUCAAACACCUGGUCCAGGCCAACGUUCGCAACAAGAAGAUCUUCAAAGAGGCUGUAAAGCUCAUGCAAGCUAAAGGCACCACAGACUACAAGUCUGGUUUCCACUUUGCCUUCAAUCAGCUACUAAACGUGAAUGACUUCAAGCUCAACACUCUGAACGACCGCAUUCUGUACGAGUGAUGCCCAAUUCUUUAGGGCUUCUACUAUUAAAUAGACAAGGACAUUUUCGAAAGAAACUGUGUGUGCUUGCAAUUUUGUGUUUUGAGCAAACACAUGAAGGACAUUUAAUUACAGAUAACAGGCCAACCAGCAGAACAUUUAAGAGUGGCUCUCAAUGACUCCGCGAUGCAUCGUGCAUAAGAACAGCCCUUAGCCGUGGUAUAUUGACCAUAUAUUGCCUUAUUGCUUAAAUAUACUUUACAGUUACAGUAUCAACCUUGCCUUGCUCUAAAUCACCCUGUGCGUUAGUUAACAUAUGUGCACCUGGGGAUAAGAAAAGGCUGAGCAUAUAAUGCCUUUCGAUUGCAAACAGCAGUAACUACACAUUUGGUCAAAAUUUAGACCGAAAUCAGACUCUCUUUUUAUCCCCCUCCAACUCUCUCUCUCUGCUCUCCCUCUAGGUUUCUAUUUUGAGACCAGCUCCAUCUGUGCCAUAAUGAUUAACACUAGUGCCUCUUACACAGCUGAUCCUGGGUCAGCCAGUUCUGCUGGCACAGCUUCCUGGAAUUGUUGUUUACCGGACACUGACUAAUCCAUAUCCUGGCCAUCUGCCCAAGAUUGUUGAACAACUUUCUGGAAGCCCAUUUUCUCUAGAGUAGCUACUAACCACACGUCUUGUCUGGGGAAGAGGUUCCAGUGGGCGAGUUCGUUUUGCGCAGUGGUGGAAAAAGUAAACUACCCAAUUUUUAUACAUGAGUAAAAGUAAAGAUACCUUGAUAGAAAAUGACUCAAGUAAAAAUGAAAGUCACCCAGCAAAAUACUACUUGAGUAAAAGUCUAAAAGUAAUUGGUUUUAAAUAUACUCAAGUAUAAAAAGUAAAUGUAAUUGCUAAAUAUAAAAUGUAUCAAAAGUAAAAGUAAAAGUAUAAAUAAUUUCACAUUCUUUAUAUUAAGUAAACCAGACAGCAUCAUUUUCUUGUUUAUGAAAUUUAUGGAUAGCCAGGCUCACACUCCAACACUCAGACAUCAUUUACAAAAUGAGGCAUUUUUGUUUAGUGAGACCACCAGAUCAGUGGCAGUAGGCAUGACCAGGGAUGUUCUCUUGAUAAAUGUGUGAAUUGGACCAUUUUCCUGUCCUGCUACUUUCGGUUUAGUUUGCUGCUAUUGUUAUUGUUUGCUUGGGACAGCGUUUCCUCUCCUUGUGCGCAGUCGUCCGUGUCACCUCGUGUUUUGUACAGAUGACUCAAAGCAGUCAAUGGAAGAAGGCCAUCUUUGUACAACAUUUGUCAGCUACAUGAUUUUUUUAAAUCUCUAAAUGUUUAUAUAUGAUAUUUGGUGAUUAAAUGCUAUUGAUAUUUUUCUCUUCA